rnacentral:tRNA from 1 species
GGAGUUGUGGCUUAGCGGUAGAGCGCUUGCCUCAUAUGUGUGAGGCACUGGGUUCAAUUCCUAGCACCA